GAGGUGGGCCUGGAGGCGGAGCUGAAGACGACGCUGGCGGGGAGAGUGCGUCAUGACGUCAUGGCAAGGAAUCCUUAUAUACAGGCUCCUGGACGCCAUCUCGGUCUUUCGAGGCUGGAAGUCGGGUGUUCGGUAUGCUAGGCACGAGUGCAGUGUGGCUUUUGUUGGCUUCUGAUGGACAGCUCUGUGCCAAAGGAAUGAGAACAGUCACUGGGAUCCAGAAGUGCAAGCAUCACGCUCUAGCCAUGGGCAGACAGAAAGAACUGUAGAAAGAACUAGCUGAAAGCUGACGUGCGUGGUGGUGGACUUGAGUCUUUGACCUGUUUGGACUGGCUUUAGUUUUUUUGCUACUGGAUCCACAUUUUACCUGUGGAUGGCAUGCUCAGGGUGCAGAUUUUGGAAACCUUUUCUAUAAAGGUGUGAAGAGGUGUGUUGGCUACAGGUCUGGAGCAGAGUUUUUAAGCAAAGGCAGACCUUCCAUUGUGAAGAUUUCAAGGGCAUUUAUGACGUCAGUCAUGCAGCUGACCUGUUGAGGUAAGCCUUCAAAACAUCAGCAGUGUUGUCUUAUUCCAGAAUACAUGAUGAUCUCACCCAAACUUGAACUCUCUCACUGAUUACUUGAUGAUGAUAAAAGAUCUGAUAUUCUGUGUACUUCAAAUACCUUUAGAAUUGAAAUAUGGAAAUGCAACUGAAAAUAGCUUUGU